GGAACGAGAAAGUGGAGACAAUGUUUCGGCUCAUCUCUGAGUUUUUAUGAAGUAUUGAUACUGAGACUUGAUAAAGCUCAGAGAGGAGCUGAAACGUUGUCUCCACUUUCUUGUUU